rnacentral:pre_miRNA from 1 species
CUUCUACUCCCUCCGUCCGAAAAUACUUGUCAUUAAAAUGGAUAAAAAGAGAUGUAUCUAGAACUAAAAUACGUCUAGAUACAUCCCCUUUUAUCCAUUUUGAUGACAAGUAUUUCCGGACGGAGGGAGUAUCUU